AGAGCCUUCAGACUUCGUGUCAAGACCUAAAGAGAGAAUUUUUAGUUUACAGAGCACUCUCUGGCUUCCAGGCAGGAUGACUCACAGAUGUGCCUGCAUCAUCUCUGACUAAAUAAUCUGCGACUGUCUCCCGACCUGCCCCAGCAUCCCCCUCAGAGAGGCUGGCACAG